rfam:TPA: Bos taurus chromosome 7, whole genome shotgun sequence.
UCCCUGGUGGCUUAGAUGGUAAAGUAUCUGCCUACAAUGCAGCAGACCCGGGUUCAAUCCCUGGGUCGGGAA